rnacentral:rRNA from 1 species
AACGAACGCUGGCGGCAUGCCUAACACAUGCAAGUCGAACGAGACCUUCGGGUCUAGUGGCGCACGGGUGCGUAACACGUGGGAAUCUGCCCUUUGCUUCGGAAUAACAGUUAGAAAUGACUGCUAAUACCGGAUGAUGUCGAAAGACCAAAGAUUUAUCGGCAAAGGAUGAGCCCGCGUAGGAUUAGGUAGUUGGUGGGGUAAAGGCCUACCAAGCCGACGAUCCUUAGCUGGUCUGGGAGGAUGAUCAGCCACACUGGGACUGAGACACGGCCCAGACUCCUGCGGGAGGCAGCAGUGGGGAAUAUUGGACAAUGGGCGAAAGCCUGAGCCAGCAAUGCCGCGUGAGUGAUGAAGGCCUUAGGGUUGUAAAGCUCUUUUACCAGGGAUGAUAAUGACAGUACCUGGAGAAUAAGCUCCGGCUAACUCCGUG